AUGCUUGUUUUCUUCUCGUUUUAGAACUCCAGCUUUCGCAUAAGGCAGGCACACCGCACACCUGCGCCGAGGGCCAACCACAAGCAUUUUAAAUUUCCCCUUGCUACAGUAGGGUCAGGGCGAAAGGGCGAAGCGACGGCGAGGUUGGGUUCCGGCGGCGAUUCCGCCGGUUCCCCUCCUCUCCGGCGGCCGGGCCGGCGCUGGAGAGGAUGGUGAACUGACGAAUCGUCGGCCGGAUGUAUAUAAGCUAGGUUUUUAUAGAUCUAGGCUUAGGUUUAGCUCGCUGUCGAGCUCGGCGGCGGAGCUUCUGCUUCCGGGAGUGGAUGCCGUGUUGGGGAUCCCUCGCCGGCGAAUAAGGAGUUUUUCUCCACUGCGGCGGAAGGUUGGUGAUGGAGCUACCGUCCAGUCUUGGUUGGUGGAGACGACGGCCAACCUUUUCUGCCUGCUGUUCCUCUGCCUUGGUCUCCUUGAUUCUAGUGACGGCAGCGACGGUGAGUCUGCUGGGAUCUGUGGAGCUCUGGCUGGGAGGAUUUUGUUGCCACUGGUUUUCUCCGGUGCUGCUGCUCUCGUUGGUGGCCCUCCGGUUGAAGAUUCAGCGUGGAGAGUUGUGGACCGGUUUACAAGGGAAGGGGCGAUGUUGGGGGGAAGGAUGGAGAAGCCUGACGACCGAUGGUCUCGUAUCGUGGAUUUCUUGCAGUUUACAUGCAGUCGGUUUCUUGAUCUGGGCGAGAGGUGAAGAUGGCUGAUCUGUGAACUGAACUGUGGCAACGCUGAUUGUUGAGCACCAGCGGUAAGACGGACUGAGCAUGAAGAAGAUGGACUUCUUUGUAAUUUCUGUUUUGGAUAGGGGUCCUUCUGGAAAAAAGGGAACCACUGCUCUUGUAACUGUUACCUUUUAAUAGAGUGCUUAUCCCUUCUCGCAAAAAAAAAAAGAAGAACUCCAGCUUUCGCGGCA